ACACACAGAGAGAACAUCUUCAAUAUGUCAGCGUUGCCGAGUCACCUCAGGAAGGCCGGGAGAGGUCUCGCCUUAGCAAACGGAGAACGCAUCGGACCAGUGUGUCGCCUUAGGGCAGGGGUCAGGAACCUUUUUGACUGGGAGAGCCAUAAAAGCCACAUUUUUCUAAAUAUAUUUCAUUGAGAGCCAUAUAGUAUUUUUAACGUAUAAUAAAUUAAAUAUGUCUUGCUGUUAAUGAGACUUCUUGUGCUGCAUGAGACAGAAUGACAUGCUGCUGUAGAGAUGAUAAAUAACAGACGUUUAGUUUAAUAAAGGAACAAAGACGUCUUUAAGAAAGGGACCUUAAAUUACUUCUGCUGUAAUCUGGCGCGAUAGAGAAAAUUACAGGGGGGCGGGCGGAGAAUUUUUUUUUUUUAACUCAAACUCAAAAGAGCCAUAUGCCGUCACCGGAAGAGCCAUAGGUUCCCGACCCCUGCCUUAGGGUUAAGCCUUUUUCCAGAAACACCCUGUACACACAGGAGCCGCCCAGUCCGACAACCUGCAGACCUUUGUGCUUUUGUUUGGUCACCGGUCGCUUGGUUUUAUUUACCAGCCGUGGAAAUGCUAAAAGACGUUGUCCAGUAUCCGGAUCGCUCACUCGUCCGUCCGUAGUGUUUACAGCCCCGAGACAAAGUUCUGUUAUGCACUGACUAGCAUAGAUUCACAGUCAGAGUGUAUCACAGAACUUAGACCAGGAACUCGCACAACAUCCGCCGUACAAUCUUCCGAGCUCGCAUUACCGUGGUUUGCAGGGGAGGAUGAAGACGCCGAAGAGGACAAAGCUGCAUUUGUAUCAACCACCUUUCGUUUCAGGCAGCACACCGGUCAGAUGAUGGCAGCACUGGGUCGAGGCAACGUUUAAACUUCCAAACCACCGGUGCAACCGGCUGCUGAUCCCACGUCCUGCCCUGUCCUCGGGGGAGCGUCUCUUCACAUGGGAUGACACGCCUCCCCACUAACGGCAUAUUGUAAAAGUCACAUAGUUGGGAAUAGCCUGUGGGACUUUCUAUUGCAGGAGGGACGAGUCCUCCGAGAAGACUCCGGGAAGCUUAUUUGACAAACUGCAAGACUCUCGCUCAACAUGGCGAGCUACAUGCCGAGCACGUCGAAGGAAAGUGUCCGUUUGGGUCAGACAAAAUGAUUUUCUCUGGGCUGGGCCAUUUGUAAAGUGGGUCACGGAUUCAGACAAAACCAGACGACCAAUCUAGACGUCUGGAGACAACGAUAAACAUCAAACUUCUGGCAAAUUUGGACUUGGCAGUUGUGUCGACUGCAAAAUCGGAUUUGCUUUUGGACGCGACGUACGAGCCGGACAUCUUCUACAGAUUCAGCCGACACCGUGAUCCAGUUUCGUAGACAGUGGCCGCAACCUGUUUCACGUUUCAGAGGAAGCGUGUUAUUACACGAUGCAAUGAAAAGACUUUCAGACGGACAUUUCGUUCUUCCAUCUGGUUGCCAAACGACACAAAACUGGAAGACGCCUUAUUCUUCCAAAGUGAAUGGAGAGAGAGAGAAUACACUUAUUCCCACUUAUUUUCGAUGAGUUUUAUGAGAAGAUGGCCUCUCUAGUCUUCCCUCAUUGUAGGGUCUGACAUAAGUGAAAUAAUCGAGUUUCACUGCAUUCGUAUGCGGUCGUCCGUUUUGUAGAGAAGAAGAAAAUGUUAAGUCCAACGCGAUUGGUCAAAAUUACUCAGACUACAAAUGAAGACCAGAACGCUUCAGAUACCUGAAGCUAGUCCCGCUGCACGCAGAUUGUGCAUUUCAUAUAUAGACGUCCGUUUGUAGAGAUUACGCUUCUGCUUAAAUAUUAAAUGUGUAGCUUGAGCCAGCAGCCAAUUAGAUUUGUUAAAACUCGAAACCAGGACAGAUUAAGCAAACAACAUCAGAUGAGCUUUAGACAUGCAUCCGGGAGAUUCACUUACCUUCGGACAGCGCUAGGCUAACAUUAACAGUCUUUGUGCUAAGCUAAGCAACUACGAGCUAGAUAUAAAUAUACCGGGCAGACAUAAGUGGUGUCAACCUUCUUGUCCAACUCUUUGCAAGGAAGCAACUUAAGAAAGUUUUUAAACUAUCAUUCAUAUAUAUAUAUACAUAUAUAUAUAUAUAUAUGGAAAAUACAAUACUGUAGGUGAUUAAUUCGAUGACCCAACAGUUUGUGUAUUUUCUCAGAAUAACUGCAAAUGAAUACAACGCUUUGUACCAGAUGUACUUGGAUAACACCGAUUGCUAUUUUUCUCACCAGCCCAUGAAUGCAGCAUUGUUGUUGCUAACGGAUGUAAAAAAAAAUAAAAAAUAUGGAUAAACUCCAAAAUGAAUUCAAUUUGACGAUGUGCUGUCGGUGCACAUGAUGCAAGUGAUUCAUGAGGAUAUAAAGAUCAUUCAAAUGAACAUGGUCGAGGAUCUUAAUGAUUUUCAUUUUACAUCAUUGUGCUUGCCUCAAAAAAACUGCAUGUCAUAUUUUAUGUCUCUUAUUCAUUCAUCCUCCAAGCUUUUUAUGGGUCACUUUCCUUUUAUUUUAUAUUUAUUUUUAUGUUUUUUAACGUAUUACGACAUUGUUUUUCGUUAGUAUUGGCACAUAUUUUUAAAUGGACAAUACUAACCUGUGAUCUGGGCAAAUAACAUGUGUUCAGGAUUUCUUUCAA